GGGACUACAGGCGCCCGCCACCAGGCCCGGCUAAUUUUUUGUAUCUUUAGUAGACACGGGGUUUCACCGUGUUAGCCAGAAUGGUCGCAAUCUCCUGACCUCGUGAUCCGCCCGCCUCGGCCUCCCAAAGUGCUGGGAUUAAGGCGUGAGCCACCGCGCCCGGCCUUUUUUUUUUUUGGUUUUUUGGGUGAGACAGGGUCUCUGUUGCCCAGGCUGGGGUGCAGUGGCGCUAUCUCAGCUCGUUGCAGCCUCGACCUCUUGGGCUCAGAUCAUCCUGUCACCUCUGCUUCUCAAGUAGCUGAGACUACAGGCUUGCGUUGCCAAGCCCGGAUAACUUUUUGUAUUUGUUUUUUUCUUUUAUUGUAGAGACGCGGUUUUGCCAUGUUGGCUAGGCUGGUUUCAGACUCCUGAGCUCAGUGAUCCGCCUUUCUUGGCUUUCCAAAAGGCUGGGAUUACAGGUAUGAGCCACACUGCCCAUCUUACAGCAAACAUUUUUUGAUGUCUGUUGAAUACCAGGCAACAUGAUAGACUUUGGGGUAAAGUAACAAAUUGAGAAAUACACAAUCCCUGAUUUCAAGAAAUUGGUCAUGAAGUGGAAAGAAGGAAUGGUUACUAAGAGGCUCAGCAGAGGAAAACAUGUCAGCCUAGAGGUAGGAAAUGUUUCAUGGAAGAUAUUGCUUCUGUAUAAGGCCUGGAAAUACAAAGAGGGCUAUUAUGGGCUGAAUUUUGUCUCUCUACAAAUUCAUAGCAAAGUCACAUGUGUGUCAUAUGUUGAAAGGAUAACUCCUCUUGCCUGAGAAAGUGAUUUUAUUUGGAGAAGAGGCCUUUGCAGAUGUAGUCAAAUUAAGAAGUCAUUAAGGUGGGCUCUAAUCUAAUCUGACUAGUGUCCUCAUAAGAAGGGAAAAUUUGGACAGAGAGACACAGGGAGAAGACCAUGUGAAGAUUGGAUAUAUGUUGCCACAAGCCAGUGAAUGCCAAACGUCACCAGCAAACCACCAGGAACUAAGGCAAAGGGACUACUGCAGUUUCCGUCAACCAAGUUGACACUUCAGGGAUACUUUUGUGACCACCAGGCAUUACAAGGAUCCUCAAAGUUCCCCAGGUAUUUGUACUAGUUUAGAAUAGAAUGCCUCAUACCAUCAUAUUGUUUUAGAAUUUGUUAGGUGCAUACCAAAACACUACAAGUUGUGCUCCGAAUUUUCAUUUCUAUUUAUUUAUUUUUAAUUUGCAUACAUUUAAAGGAUACAAGUGUAAUUUUGUUACAUGUAUAAAUUGCAUAGUGGUGAAGUCAGGGCUUUUAUGGUAGUCAUCACUCAAAGAACGUAUAUUGUACCCCUUUCCAGUGACAUUGCUCUUUGGGUAUUAACUCAGAGUCAUCUAUAGCCAUUAAGACCUAGGUAGAAAUUCAUAGUGUGGGGCCAGGGACAGUCUGACAGGAGGCUAUCCUAAGAAUCACUCUUUCCUUCUGAAAAUAAAAUGUAGUAUGGAAUCAAGUUCGUCAUUGAUAGCUCCCUCUUCUCUCGGAAUGAGUUUUCAUGUGGCACAUUCUCAGUUCUCCAUGCAAAGAGUCUUCCUAGUUACUCUUUAUCAUUUUGGCAGACGGUACCAAAAAUAUCAGAAUUUCAAAAGAUGACACAGCAUAGGCUAAAGGUGGUGACCCUUUUGCCACUUCCUACUGUUUUAGUUCUUACACUGCUCAAAAUAGAGAUUCCUGAAUAUAUUUAGAAAUAGUCCCCUAUAUCCUUAAGAUAAUGCCAAUUGCUAAUAUUUACUGGACAGUUGCUAUAAGCCAGGUACUAUGCUAAUCACACUGAUGUAUUACCUUAUUUAAUUCUCUAAAAAUUCUGAGGUAUUGUCAUAAUUUCUACUUUAUAAAUAGAAAAAUUACAGAAAUGGCCUGAAGUCACAGUUCGUGAUGGAACAAGGCCUUGAACCAGGGCUUUUUCAUUCCAAUGCCCAUGCCCUUGAGCACAGCCUGUACUGUUUCUCAAUAUCAGUAAUUGUUACGGGUUGAAUUGUGUCUCACAAAACAUGACAUGUUUAAGUCCUAAUCCCCAGCACCUCAGAAUUUGCCUUGGCAAAUUGGCAGAAUGGUCCUGCCAACACCUUGAUUUUGGACUUCUAGUCUCCAGAAUUGUGCGAAAAUAAAUUUCUGUUGUUUUAAUCCACCUAGUUUCUGGAAUUUUCUGCAUCAGCCCUAGAAAAACAGUACAGCCAUAUAAAUAGAGAAACUCUAAGAAAAAAGAUGAUAUACUAUAAACAGAGAAUCUAAAAUGUAAUAUAGCCUAAGAGGAAUGAGAGACUCCAAACAUAAAACAACUUUGUGAGUGUGAUGGUUAAUACUGAGUGUCAAUUUGAUUGGAUUGAAGGAUACAAAGCAUUGAUCCUGGGUGUGUCUGUGUGGGUGUUGCCAAAGGAGAUUAACAUUUGAGUCAGUGGGCUGGGGAAGGCAGACCCACCCUUAAUCUGAGUGGGCACAAUCUAAUCAGCUGCCAACAAGGCUAGGAUAUAAGCAGGCAAAAAAAAUGUGAAAAGAGAGGCUGGCCUUGCCUCCCAGCCUACAUCUUUCUUCGGUGUGCUGGAUGUUUCCUGCCCUCCAACAUCGGAUUCCAAUUUCUUCAGUUUUCGAACUCAGACUGGCUCUCCUUGCUCCUCAGCCUGCAGACUGCCUAUUGUGGGACCUUGUGAUUGCGUGAGUUAAUAUUUAAUAAACUCUCCUUUAUGUAUAUAUCUAUUCCAUUUGUUCCGUCCCUCUAGAGAACGCUAAUACACUGAGUAAGAAAAAGAAGAACAGGAGACCCAAAAACAAAGAAAAGAAAGAAAAAAGUAAACAAAGUAAUCUGGUUGUAAAAUGAGUUCGCUAGAUUUCUGGUGACAUCUGAUUUUAAUAGGAUAUUCAUAAAAAAUGAAAGCAGGGAUAUAAAACCAAAGUAAAUAAAUACUUAUAACUCAUUGCGAACAAGGUUAAUAUUUAGGGGUUUGGUGGUGGUGACUGGGGAGAGGAAAUUACAGACAAUUAAAGACCAAAACAAAAUAAAGCUUGGAUUUAAUGUAAACCUCAAAUUUAAAAUAAUAUUCCCAUGUGGCAUCAUAGAAAUGGCAUCCAAAAGAAUAAAAGUAAAACUACAGCAAUAAUUUAGAUCUGUAACUAUAAAUCGUCUGAUGGAAAAAUAGCUAAAAUUGUUCUCUAUUGAAAUAGUUAUGAUUGUUACCUUUCUCAUCUCAGCUGGUCUCCCUAUUUCUAAAUAUUGGAAUAGAGCAUCAGGGUGUCCCAAUUCUUCAGUGGGCUCAAACCAAUUACUAUUGGUUUUCAUAUGGUUCUGAAUAAUAGACACUUCUAAUAUGCAGAUGCUUUCAGAGAUUCAUACAAAUGUUAAUGUAUUUAAAAAACCUUUUUUUUUUUAAAAACCCUAGUUAAUCCAAAAAUGGACUAUCUAGCUAUGGAAAUUGGAGUUGUGUAUGCAAGAAGUGUGUGAAUUAUCAGGAGAAUCCUGUUGAAAAUGAAGCCACUAUCAUGGUUAAGAGGAUUUGAAAUCUAAGAUCAGGAGUGACUGCUUUCGGUGAAUACAAGUUUCUAAGACUAGAAGAUGGACAUUCUAAAGUUCAGAAAAAGUCACUUCUCAAAUCACUAAGUUAUGUUGCUUCCUUCACAAUGUUGACCAAGAAUCCCUUCACCCCUUUUCUUGUUAACAUUGCAGUCAAACAUUGAUUAUCAUGCACUUUAAUAAAAUAAUAGCCAAAUUGUUAUCUCAUUUCUCUGCCUCAAGUCUGUUCUUUUCUCAGUUCACAUUGCACACUGCCUGGCUUGGGCCAUUCCUUGGUUCAGAAAUCUUAAAUUGUUCCCCAUUUUCCUACAGACUAAAGUUUAUUUUCCUUAACCUAGCCCUUUAUUGCUCCUCCAAAUUUACUCGUCUCACAAACCAUCUUUCUAGCAUCAUUUCCAAUAA
rnacentral:lncRNA from 1 species